GUGCUUGCUUUGGCAGCACAUAUACAAAAAUUGGAAUGAUACAGAGAAGAUUAGCAUGGACCCUGCACAGAGACAACAAGAAAAUUCAUGAAGCAUUCCAUAUUCUU
ensembl:snRNA U6 U6 spliceosomal RNA